rnacentral:rRNA from 1 species
UACAGAGGUCCCAAGCGUUGUUCGGAUUCACUGGGCGUAAAGGGUGCGUAGGUGGCUUGGAAAGUUUGAUGUGAAAGCUCAGGGCUCAACCCUGAAAUGGCAUUGAAUACUAUCGAGCUGGAGGUUUGGAGGGGGACUGGAAUUCUUGGUGUAGCAGUGAAAUGCGUAGAUAUCAAGAGGAACACCAGUGGCGAAGGCGAGUCCCUGGACAACACCUGACACUGAGGCACGAAAGCCGGGGGAGCAAACAGG